AUUGAACGCUGGCGGCAGGCUUAACACAUGCAAGUCGAGCGGAGAUGAGGUGCUUGCACCUUAUCUUAGCGGCGGACGGGUGAGUAAUGCUUAGGAAUCUGCCUAUUAGUGGGGGACAACAUUCCGAAAGGAAUGCUAAUACCGCAUACGUCCUACGGGAGAAAGCAGGGGAUCUUCGGACCUUGCGCUAAUAGAUGAGCCUAAGUCGGAUUAGCUAGUUGGUGGGGUAAAGGCCUACAAAGGCGACGAUCUGCAGCGGGUCUGAGAGGAUGAUCCGCCACACUGGGACUGAGACACGGCCCAGACUCCUACGGGAGGCAGCAGUGGGGAAUAUUGGACAAUGGGGGGAACCCUGAUCCAGCCAUGCCGCGUGUGUGAAGAAGGCCUUAUGGUUGUAAAGCACUUUAAGCGAGGAGGAGACUACUGAGACUAAUACUCUUGGAUAGUGGACGUUACUCGCAGAAUAAGCACCGGCUAACUCUGUGCCAGCCGCCGCGGUAACAC
rnacentral:rRNA from 1 species